rnacentral:rRNA from 1 species
CCAAUAGCGUAUAUUAAAGUUGUUGCAGUUAAAAAGCUCGUAGUUGAAUUUCGGGGUUAGUAGGUUGGUCAUGCCUCUGGUAUGUACUGGUCUCACUGAUUCCUCCUUCCUGAUGAACCUUAAUGCCAUUAAUUUGGUGUUUUGGGGAAUUUGGACUGUUACUUUGAAAAAAUUAGAGUGUUUAAAGCAAGCUAACGCUUGAAUACAUUAGCAUGGAAUAAUGAAAUAGGACGUUCGAUCCUAUUUUGUUGGUUUCUAGGAUUGACGUAAUGAUUAAUAGGGAUAGUUGGGGGCAUUAGUAUUCAAUUGUCAGAGGUGAAAUUCUUGGAUUCAUUGAAGACUAACUACUGCGAAAGCAUUUGCCAAGGAUGUUUUCAUUAAUCAAGAACGAAAGUUAGGGGAUCGAAGACGAUCAGAUACCGUCGUAGUCUUAACCAUAAACUAUGCCGACUAGGGAUCGGAUGAUGUUAAUUUUUUAAUGACUCAUUCGGCGCCUUACG